AUCUCUCACUGGUGAGAGAGUAUUUUUACUGGCUAUCAAAGGAUCCACCGCAUUGCUCCUUCCUCCGGUCCAUAACCAUUGAACUAAGUAAAAUUAACAUAUUUAAGAUCUAACAAGUUGGUGUGGACGAGGACAUUGAAUUGGCUAAACAAGUUGACAAACCAUUCUUUACCUCAAAUUUUCAAAUCCUUCCAUUGUAGCAAAUCAACAUUCAUACUUUCAUUGUAGCAAAUCAAACGAGCAAAGACAACUGGUUUGGAUCGAUCGAGAAGCAGAGCAAAGUGAAGACAACGGAAGGUUCUUUGAGGCUUUGAGUCAUGGAGGGUAGACCAAACAGUCAAAAUCCAUUGUUCGUGAACGUAGCUUCAGGGGAAGUAAUGGGAAGACAGAAUUGAAAGUGUAUGGGGUGCUUCAUAUGAUGGUUUUGAAUAUGAUAUUAGUGUUGGACAUGUUUUCAUGCAAUUUAUUUGCCUCAAUCUGACUUAGUUAAUGUGUUGUAAAAUUUACGUUGUUGACUUUGGUUUCAUUUUGUGUUACUUCAUGAUCGUUAGUGAACUAAAGUAUUAAUGGUUAUCUAUGUUGUGUAAGGUACUAUGUUUUGUAACAAACCUCGUUAGUGAACUAAAGUAUUAAUGGUUAUCUAUGUUGUGUAAGGUACUAUGUUUUGUAACAAACCAAGCUUGUUGCUUGUGGUUAUUUGGUGAAUUUAUUUAUCUAUUUUGAAACUGUGAUUA